ACUUGGUAAUUAUGCUUUUAGCUGACUCCUAACUCUUGCCAUGGAACUUUGGCUGCCAGGGAGGGAUUUCAGGGAACCAAAGGGACUUCGGGGAGGCUGGCUGCACUCCAGGUUCUGGGUAGUGAUCUAGUUGUGGGGACUAGGGUUGUUUUCACUUUGCAGGGUGGUCUUCGGUCUUCUGGCAAAAAUCUUUGAACGUGGCUUGGACUCCAGUCCAGACCCUCUGGUUCUCUUAGGCGAGCACUGAUUCUUCUUAGCUGCUAUCAGAGUUCCACGGCGACCCUCACCAGCACUCCUGGACACCCUCUUCAGCCUUGCAAUCACCCAAGACUCUGAGACAUUCUCUCAACUUCAUUUGCCCUUGUGGGUUGCCAGUCCCAGUUCAAAGAUCAUUGUUUCUCUCAUAGUUCCUUCCAUUCCCAGACCAGCAGGAGCAUCUGGGAGGCCCAGGAUGAAGGGAGGCAGUAAGCUCAACGGCCCGGCCAUCUUUCACUGACAUCCGCCUCAGGGGUAUCAGGAGUGAUUCCAUUACCAAGAGACCCCUCAUCAACUCAAUAGACUGUAUUCCCAUUCCAUUGGGACCGAAUUCCUGCACACAGCUUCUUUUGGAAAUGGAAUCAGAAGAACAGUUUCCAGAGCUCACCUCACAUUCUUGAAACUCCUCCUCCUCCAGCGGGAAGCAACCACGGAGAGGGCCCGAGGAGGCCCUAUGGUCGAGACUUUUAGGGUCCCGAAGUGGUUGUGGCAGGCAGCUUUUUAGUGAACCAGGCUGACUCUGCCUGUCCCAUUUUCCUCUGCUUAGGCAGGCUGACAGCCCUGACAGUUCAAUCCCAAGGCUGCCUCGCAAAUGCGCAUGCGCCAGUCUCAGCGCACAGUGAGUAACCGGUGAGCUAAGGCUUGCCUCACAGUGAAUGCAGCCGUUGACUGGUGACAAGUAUCUGUGGCUUGGCAGAGAAGGAGACCUCUGUGGACCUGCGUCCACAUUAGACUCUAGCCUGUCUUCUUUGAAGGAUCCACGUGAUAUUCCCACAAUCCUAGGAGAUGGCAGUGGAGAGUCAGCCUGAAGAAAUUUCAAGCAGACCUUCAGAAAUACAGCGCGAUAACCCCAAGGAGCCAAAAGGACCUGCAGGAUGUGUCAGGCCUGCUUAAAUGGUAUUGAUGCUGACAGCCCUGACUGUUCAGCUCCCAAGGCUGCCUCGCGAAUGCCCAUGCGCCAGAAUCCGAGCUCCUUGCGCAAGCGGUGAGGGAAGGCUCCCGUCAGUGACUGUCACUGUUGCCGGGCGACAAGUAUCUGUGGCUUGGCGGAGAAAGAGACCUCUGUGGGGUACGUCGGCGUUGGACUCUUGCCUGUCUUCUUUGAAGGAUCCACGUGAUAGUCCCACAAUCCUAGGAGAUGGCAGUGGUGAAUCAGCCUGAAGAAAUCUUAAGCGGAGCUUCAGAAAUACAAUGCGAAAUCCCUAAGGAUCCAAAAGGACCCGCAGGAUGUGGCAGGCCUGCCUAGACUGUUUGAGGACUGCUGUGCUGAGAAGCAGGAGCAUCUGUGAGGCCCAGAAUGAAGUGUGGCAGUGAGUUCAAGGACCCGGCCAUCUUUCAAUGACAUGCACCUCCGGUAUAUCAGGAAUGAUUUCAUCACCCCAAGACCCCUCAACAUUUCACCAAUUCCAUCACACAGCCUCUUUUGGGAAUGGAAUCAGAAGAACCAUUCCCAGUGCCCACCUUAAAUUCUAGAAACUUCUCCCCCUCCACUGGAGCCCAACCACGGAGACAACCCGAGGAGGCCCUAUGGUGGAGACUUAUAGGGUCUCCCUGUGGUUAUCUCAGACAGCCUUAUUCCCGAGGCCAGGCUGGCUCUGCCUAUACUAUUUUUCUCUGGUUAGGCAGACUGACAGCCCUGAUGGUUCAGCUCCCAAGGCUGCCUCGUGAAUGUGCAUGCGCCAGUCUCUGGGCACCUUGAGCAAGCUGUGAGCGAAGGCUUGCGCCACAGUGAAUUCCACUGUUGCCUGGCUGCAAGUGUCUGUGGCUUGGCAGAGAAGAAGACCUCUGUGGACGUGGGUACGCGUUGGAGUUUCACCUGUCUUCAUUGAAAGAUCCACAUGAUAGUCUCACAAUCCUAGCAGAUGGCAGUGGCGAGUCAGCCUGAGGAAACCUGAAGUGGAGCUUCAGAAAUACACUGCAAAAUCCCUAAGGUCCAAGAAGAUCUGCAGGAUGCGUCAGGCCUGCCUACUUGGUGUGGGGGUAUCUCCUUGAAAGUUGCCUCACUGUGAUUUCUAGGUACAGUCGCCUGUGUUUUUCAGGACUGCACUCUUGCCAGAUGGACUUCCUGGAGAAGCAGAACUGCGCAGCUUCAGAAGCUUCUGGGCUGUGUGUUUCUUUGGGAGUGCUGCGAGUUUUGGAUGUCUGUGUGUGUGUGUGUGUGUGCGCGCGCGCAUGUGUGUGUGGCUGUGUGUAUGUGUGUGUGUCUGCAUGUGUGUAUAAGUGUUGUUUGCUAAAAAAUAUUUGACUCAUGCACUACUGCCCUUUGUUUCCGAGUUGCGCCACCUUCUGGUGCACCUGUUUGUGUGGCUCUGCUUGGGCUAUGGGGCUGUGUGUUUUUUGAUUUUUCGUAGUUCCUGAAUCUGCAGUGAACUGGGAUCUGACUAAGACCAACAGGGAUCCAAAUCACCUUCCCAUGCAAAACAACUAAUCUUCAAUAAAAAAACAGGAGCAUAUCACACCCAAGAGCAGACACCUCCCAGUGCCUCAUUGUCCUGCAGCCAACUCAGUGCUAGACCCUAGCAGUCCUGUCCGUAGGGCUUCUUAAAUCCACCUCGAAUUCGAUUUUUAGCCAAGCAGUUGCUUUACUUUGUGAGGCGGGCACUCUUCCAUCAUUUUGGGAUUUCAUUCUGGGACAAAGAGUGUGAGCAACAGUUAAGUUAGAUACGGAUGAGGGUACAAUCUGUUGAGGUGUGGAUGGGGCCCCACAACUUCAGCUGCAAAAAAGUUGCAGACAGGUGACACAGAAACUGCUGCCAACUCCAUCCCUGCAUUCCCUUCAUUGCACAAGCUAUCCACAAUGUGGCCCGGUGCCCAAGUUGGAGGACUCCAACUUGAGGGGAACAAAAAAAAAAAGUUUAACUGAAAAUAAAAAAGAGUUUAACUCUGUGAGAUGAAACCA